CGGGGCGUUCCGCCGGGACCUGCAGUAGCCUCGACGGCGCGGGCUCCCCGGCGGUGACUGUGGCUUCAGGGGCGGUGCGUUUGGUGCUGGAGGUUUGGAUUCUACUUGAUCACAGAGAUCAUAAGAGAUGCUGCACAUGUCUUUGGAGAUGGACUUCUCAUGAGUGGCCUGGAUCCAUGUGUUCGUUCACCGAUGUCCAGCUUGUUACUUUGGGAUCUUACUUGGUCAAGUGUUUGAG
rnacentral:lncRNA from 1 species